GACGGGACCGCACAAGCGGUGGAUGAUGUGGUUUAAUUCGAUGCAACGCGAAAACCUUACCACCUUUGACAUGUACGGAACCCUUUAGAGAUAGAGGGGUGCUCGAAAGAGAGCCGUAACACAGGUGCUGCAUGGCUGUCGUCAGCUCGUGUCGUGAGAUGUUGGGUUAAGUCCCGCAACGAGCGCAACCCUUGUCAUUAGUUGCUACAUUCAGUUGGGCACUCUAAUGAGACUGCCGGUGACAAACCGGAGGAAGGUGGGGAUGACGUCAAGUCCUCAUGGCCCUUAUAGGUGGGGCUACACACGUCAUACAAUGGAUGGUACAAAGGGUCGCCAACCCGCGAGGGGGAGCCAAUCCCAUAAAGCCAUUCGUAGUCCGGAUCGCAGUCUGCAACUCGACUGCGUGAAGUCGGAAUCGCUAGUAAUCGUGGAUCAGAAUGUCACGGUGAAUACGUUCCCGGGUCUU
rnacentral:rRNA from 1 species